CCUACGGGAGGCAGCAGUGAGGAAUAUUGGUCAAUGGACGAGAGUCUGAACCAGCCAAGUAGCGUGAAGGAUGACUGCCCUAUGGGUUGUAAACUUCUUUUAUAAAGGAAUAAAACGAGGCACGUGUGCCUUUUUGCAUGUACUUUAUGAAUAAGGAUCGGCUAACUCCGUGCCAGCAGCCGCGGUAAUACGGAGGAUCCGAGCGUUAUCCGGAUUUCUUGGGUUUAAAGGGAGCGUAGAUGGGUUGUUAAGUCAGUUGUGAAAGUUUGCGGCUCAACCGUAAAAGUGCAAUUGAUACUGGCAGUCUUGAGUACAGUUGAGGUAGGCGGAAUUCGUGGUGUAGCGGUGAAAUGCUUAGAUAUCACGAAGAACCCCGAUUGCGAAGGCAGCUUACUAAACUGUGACUGACAUUGAUGCUCGAAAGUGUGGGUAUCAAACAGGAUUAGAUACCCCUGUAGUC
rnacentral:rRNA from 1 species